rnacentral:lncRNA from 1 species
AUGUUAAAUAAGAGGGGGGGAGUUCACCCCACUUUCUCCCCCUCCCCACUUUCUCUCGGAUGCCGGGCAGGCUCUGCCCACCCUCCACAACAGCCUGGCCCCCACGGACACACGUUUUCCCCCACGACAGCCCCUCCAGGCUGCUCCUCGGGGGCUCCUCCGCCUCUCCUCGGCUACACCCCUCCCUCCGGGGCGGGGAGGGGGGGACAUGGGAGCAAAAGGCACCGACCUUCAGUAGGAAAAACCAGCGCCACUAAACCUCGGGCAAGUUUUCCAGCGAGCAAAUCCGACGGUUUUUUUCCCUCUUUUUCUCCAACACACGGCAGGGCUCCCGGGGAGGGCUGCAGGAAGGUGGUGGGGGUAUUUAUUUUGAAGCGAAAUGGGCAAAAAAUGGGAUUUUUCAGCCUCUCAGAUAAGGGAAAAAGGGAGAAGUCCAGCACCCCUCCGGCAGAAAUAUGGGGAAAGGCCGGAGGGAGGGGGCUUAAUGCAGGGACGUGGGGGUUUCUCCCCCGACCCCAGAGCAGCUCGGGGGGGGGAAGAGGGGAUUGCUUUUCCGCAAUGAGGGGUGGAGGAGGGGGGAAACAUGCCCCAGCUUUGGGGUACAGGGUCGCUCUCCGUGGGGAGAGGGGCAGCAGGGAGGGAAGGGGGGAAAUUUGGUGCUGGAGUCAGCCCUGGAAGGACAGAGGGACAGUGGGGAGAAAGAUACCCUCCAGGUGUGGCAAGGGGUGCGUGGGGAUUUAUUUUUUUCUGCAUGGAUCUCGUACCCCUAUAAUAAUAAUAAUAAUGACUCGAUAUAACUCCCUCCCGAAGGGGGUGGGGGGGCAACAGGUCAGGCUCAGCCCCCUCUUGCCAAUGUCACCGCUUUUCCUCGAAAGCUCUCGGUGCAGCCGUGGGCUCGCUCCGGUGCUAUUUGCACCAUCACAGGCACAAUUAAUUUUUUUUCCCCUUCUCUCUCUCGCCAGGCUCUGCAGGCUCCCGGCAGUGACAGCCGCUGCCGGGACGGGUUUCAUCACGCUCACACCUCUGCGAGCCCCAAGGACCCGACUCGCCCCCCCCCCUUUCCCCGGCCCGCCCCCUGUGAUUUAG